CGCGAAUUCGCCCUUCGGGGUGCAGCAGGCGCGAAAACUUUACAAUGCGGGAAACCGUGAUAAGGGGACACCGAGUGCCAGCAUCAUAUGCUGGCUGUCCAGGUGUGUAAAAUACACCUGUUAGCAAGGGCCGGGCAAGACCGGUGCCAGCCGCCGCGGUAACACCGGCGGCCCGAGUGGUGAUCGUGAUUAUUGGGUCUAAAGGGUCCGUAGCCGGUUUGGUCAGUCCUCCGGGAAAUCUGACGGCUCAACCGUUAGGCUUUCGGGGGAUACUGCCAGGCUUGGAACCGGGAGAGGUAAGAGGUACUACAGGGGUAGGAGUGAAAUCUUGUAAUCCCUGUGAGACCACCUGUGGCGAAGGCGUCUUACCAGAACGGGUUCGACGGUGAGGGACGAAAGCUGGGGGCACGAACCGGAUUAGAUACCCGGGUAGUCCCAGCCGUAAACGAUGCUCGCUAGGUGUCAGGCAUGGCGCGACCGUGUCUGGUGCCGCAGGGAAGCCGUGAAGCGAGCCACCUGGGAAGUACGGCCGCAAGGCUGAAACUUAAAGGAAUUGGCGGGGGAGCAC
rnacentral:rRNA from 1 species